rnacentral:rRNA from 1 species
GAACGGGUGCGUAACGCGUAUGCAACCUACCUUCAUCAGGGGGAUAGCCCGGAGAAAUUCGGAUUAACACCGCAUAAAAGCAUAGUACGGCAUCGUACAAUGUUCAAAUAUUCAUAGGAUGAGGAUGGGCAUGCGUGUCAUUAGCUAGUUGGUAAGGUAACGGCUUACCAAGGCGACGAUGACUAGGGGAUCUGAGAGGAUGACCCCCCGCACUGGUACUGAGACACGGACCAGACUCCUACGGGAGGCAGCAGUAAGGAAUAUUGGUCAAUGGAGGCAACUCUGAACCAGCCAUACCGCGUGCAGGAAGACGGCCCUAUGGGUUGUAAACUGCUUUUAUACGGGAAUAAACCUUGAUUCGUGAAUCGAGCUGAAUGUACCGUAAGAAUAAGGAUCGGCUAACUCCGUGCCAGCAGCCGCGGUAAUACGGAGGAUCCAAGCGUUAUCCGGAUUUAUUGGGUUUAAAGGGAGCGUAGGCGGCCAUUUAAGUCAGAGGUGAAAACUUGCAGCUCAACUGUAAGCUUGCCUUUGAUACUGAGUGGCUUGAAUAAACUUGAGGUAGGCGGAAUGUGACAAGUAGCGGUGAAAUGCAUAGAUAUGUCACAGAACACCAAUUGCGAAGGCAGCUUACUAAGGUUUAAUUGACGCUGAGGCUCGAAAGCGUGGGGAUCAAACAGGAUUAGAUACCCUGGUAGUCCACGCCCUAAACGAUGAUAACUCGAUGUUGGCGAUAUACAGUCAGCGUCCAAGCGAAAGCGUUAAGUUAUCCACCUGGGGA